UACGGGGGGGGCAAGCGUUGUUCGGAAUUACUGGGCGUAAAGGGCUCGUAGGCGGCCAACUAAGUCCGACGUGAAAUCCCCAGGCUUAACCUGGGAAUUGCGUCGGAUACUGGAUGGCUUGAAUUCGGGAGAGGGAUGCAGAAUUCCAGGUGUAGCGGUGAAAUGCGUAGAUAUCUGGAGGAAUACCGGUGGCGAAGGCGGCAUCCUGGACCGACAUUGACGCUGAUGAGCGAAAGCUAGGGGAGCAAACGGG
rnacentral:rRNA from 1 species